rnacentral:lncRNA from 10 species
GGCGGCUUUCAACCCGAACGCGUCCCUCCUUCAAGAUCAAGACCCUGAACGUAGUUCAACAAGUAGUUGGUGAUGAUAGCGUGCCCUGACUGGGCCAGGAUAGCCUCUUUAGUAAAACAGCCACGAAAGUCAUGAAACAGAUGCUCAGCUCCUUUCUUCAUUUUCACUUUAAUUCGGUGAUGCCUCUGUGUCUGUCUGACGACAUCUCUCCUGGGGUCUGUGAUUCUGCUGAUGGUCUUCAGUGCCUACUGAGAAGGGUUCCUGGACAUCAUCAGGUAUGAAAACCUCAAAGCUCUCGGUCCUCAACGUGAGAACCCUGGGCCAGCGGCAUCAGCCUCACCAGGAAACCUGUUCUUCUGCUCAUUCUUGGGCCCCACCCCAGGCCUAUUCAAAGAAAGACUCCAGGGGCAGGGCCUGGCAGCCUGUGUUUCCACCAGAUCUGUGUUAAAGCUCAAAUGAACCAGCCCACGUGAUGCUGACCAGGAAGCACAAGGCUGAGAGCCAGUGUCCAAGGCAACGGUGCCCAUGGGGCCAGAGGCAGCUCCUGCCUGUGCAGCUGUAUUUAGGGCUGCGUUCCCCUCCCUGUCCUGCCAGUUGACGUCAGUGUGGGGUUACUCAGCUAAGGCCACCACGGUAUAUCCACA